AUUGAACGCUGGCGGAAUGCUUUACACAUGCAAGUCGAACGGUAGAGGGGGCAACCCCUCGAGAGUGGCGAACGGGUGAGUAAUAUAUCGGAACGUGCCCAGUCGGGGGGGAUAACGUAGCGAAAGUUACGCUAAUACCGAAUAUGAUCUAAGGAUGAAAGCGGGGGAUCGCAAGACCUCGCGCGAUUGGAGCGGCCGAUAUCGGAUUAGGUAGUUGGUGGGGUAAAGGCUCACAAAGCCAACGAUCGGUAGCUGGUCUGAGAGGACGACCAGCCACACUGGAACUAAGACACGGUCCAGACUCCUACGGGAGGCAGCAGUGGGGAAUUUUGGACAAUGGACGCAAGUCUGAUCCAGCCAUUCCGCGUGCAGGAUGAAGGCCCUCGGGUUGUAAACUGCUUUUGUACGGAACGAAAAGGUCUCUCUUAAUACGGGGGACUCAUGACGGUACCGUAAGAAUAAGCACCGGCUAACUACGUGCCAGCAGCCGCCGUAA
rnacentral:rRNA from 1 species